UUUAAAACAAGUUCGUCAUGUAUUAUGGAACCUAUAUAAAACAGGAUAUUUGCAAAAAGGACCAAUAUUUUAAAAAUAUAUAAAAGGAAAAAAAACGAAACCAAAAAAAAUACACACACGCACACACACACAAGAAACAACUGAAAAAAUAAAACAACGAAAAAGUCCGGUUCGUAUGGAGGCGAGCUUCAGCAAAGCCUAAACUAUAUGUCGUCUGCGAGGGGCAUAUAGGAUUGGCCCAGGCCACACGAUGUCGGUCCUGUUACUAUGGUUGCGGUGCAGUCGGCUAGGUUGCAGUCGCAACAGGUUGUCGCCCUACCUCUGCCAUCCAUUUGCUGAUGCAUCCCACCUCAGGGCUCUGCUUGGUGGGCCUACUUUGGUUGGGAUGCCGACAUGGUCGAUGUGACGGUCUUCUCAACAUCCGUGGCUCCUCCGACUUUGGCAGCGUCGGCUUCCGUAGCCCCGUCACCUUCUAUAGCUCCUACGUUUGAAUUGUUGUCCACUCCUCUGCAAUGUAGCGGCUGCCACCCCGUCUUUGUCGACGACUCUUCU
rnacentral:lncRNA from 1 species